AGUGAACGCUGGCGGUAGGCCUAACACAUGCAAGUCGAACGGCAGCACAGUAAGAGCUUGCUCUUACGGGUGGCGAGUGGCGGACGGGUGAGGAAUACAUCGGAAUCUACUUUUUCGUGGGGGAUAACGUAGGGAAACUUACGCUAAUACAGCAUACGACCUACGGGUGCAUGCAGGGGAUCUUCGGACUUUGCGCGAUAGAAUGAGCCGAUGUCGGAUUAGCUAGUUGGCGGGGUAAAGGCCCACCAAGGCGACGAUCCGUAGCUGGUCUGAGAGGAUGAUCAGCCACACUGGAACUGAGACACGGUCCAGACUCCUACGGGAGGCAGCAGUGGGGAAUAUUGGACAAUGGGCGCAAGCCUGAUCCAGCCAUACCGCGUGGGUGAAGAAGGCCUUCGGGUUGUAAAGCCCUUUUGUUGGGAAAGAAAAGCAGCAGGUUAAUACCCCGCUGUUCUGACGGUACCCAAAGAAUAAGCACCGGCUAACUUCGUG
rnacentral:rRNA from 1 species